GAAGAGGCUGCCAAGUGAGAGAGGUUUGUUCAUGUUCUUCUGUUGAUCUCCUUGUUGUGUUAUUACCGUGGUUAUCUGAUCAUGAAGGACUAUAAGACUUUGACUGUGGCUGAUUCACGAAGACUUUCUAUGAUUCAUCUAGAUGAUAAAACAUUUUUUUUGCUCAAAAUACAAUGUGUUGCUUUGUUACAAAAUAUUAUCACACCGCAGAAAACACCGCCAUUGUUACAAGUUACAACACAUACUUGGCGGUCAUAAAUUUGCUUACAUAACAUAGUACAACUACAAAAGGAGAGGCUGCAAAGUGAGAGAGGUUUGUUCAUGUUGUUCUGCUGGUCCCCUUGUUGUGCUGGCUUUGGUGGUUACGUGGUCAUGGACGAUCAAGAGCUUGAGCGUGGCUGAUUCGCGCAGCCAAGUUGCUACCACCGAACCGCUUGAUGUGAACCGUCCCAUGUUGCAUUUUGAGAGGUAGAACGGUGCGUCAAUUCCCCUCAAAAGCGCUUCAACCGCUGGCCUUAGUGCUGCAUCUCCGACCACUUUGCUGUGUUUCCCCCAACCAGUCAAUAUGCUGCCACACACAAGCAUAUCAUAACAUUUUGAAGCAACCAUAAAUUAGUAUCUCCAAAGUAGUCCUCAUGUAAGGCUAAUAACUUAAACCUAUCAAACUGCAUGAUAGUUAUCACAAGUUUUUAUUCAAAAAAAAAGAUAGUUAUCACAAGACAACCUAGCAUCUAUUUUGACAGAGAUGACACUAGACUAGAUUCUUGUAGUAAAAUGGUAGGGAAAAACCGUUUACAUUGGUAACUAAAAGGAAGAGCUGUAUUACCUCAAAAGUUUAGGCAACUCAUGACCUUCAUAGACAAUGGAGCGUAUGUUUAGCAACCAAGCAUGGACCAUAGCACGUGCAGCACCAGAAGACAUAAGGUGCAAGUCCAAGCAAGACUCAGACCACACGUUCUCCCAAACUUGUCUAGAUCUUCCCUCAAGCGCCACCAGUUGCGCUCCUCGUUUCUACAAACAAAAACGUUUCCAAAAGUAAGCCUUCACACUAAUAGUAACGCUUAGAAACUCCAAAACUCAGCCUCUACAAUAACGGUUUGAUUUUUACCUGACCAAAGUGCCAGAGCAUGUCGGUAAGAGCAUUGUAGAAGGCAGCAGCAGUCGAACCAUCCAUUUCAUUUACUUUGUCGAAUAAGCUCUGAGCCUGGAGCCACACAUUCUCUCUGUGUCCCUUGAGAAGCCCAUGAACAACACCAUACACCUGAUUAUCAAACAGCCUGAGCUCCUCUAGCAGCACCGACGCAUCUUCAAAUGAGUUGCACCGACUACAUCGAUACACACACAUGUCAACAAAAAUAAGACUCCUCACCAAAAUGCAGCCGCACAACGAAACCACAUAGAAGAGAUAUCCAAGAAAAGGACAAACCUGCAAGCAUUAAGAAUGGCAGAGAAGGUUACAACAUUCGGUUUUAUUUCCAGCUGAUGCAUCUUGCGGAUAACUUCCAAUAUAGAGGAGAGCUCAUGCAUACCCUCCUUACAAUCUUUCUUCCCUCUGUUACUACUCUCUAUCGUUAACUUCCCAAAUAUCUGCAUCACCUGAUUCUCCUCUGUUUCAGCCAAUUUACUUAGAGAACAAGAAGGCAGCAAAGAAGACGAUCCAACUCCACCAUCUCCAGACUCAGCCAAGCACUCCACAGUCGCAGACCGACCAAAAGCAUCGAUUAUAGAAUUGUAAGUCACAACAUUAGGACUAACCCCUUCCUUAGUCAUCUCAUCGAUCAAAGAAACAGCAGAACCUACCAACCCAUUCUUGCACAACGCAUCGAUCAACGCACUAUACAAAACAACAUCAGCUCUCAACCCCGCGCCUUUGAACUCCUUAAAUAUCUCCAUCGCCUCCUUGUACAACCCUCCUUUCGAGUAGACAUCGAUCAACGUGGAGUAAGUCAGCAGAUUCGGCGUCACGCGCUCACGCUUCAUCUCAGCGAAAACGUUCUUCACUUCGAGGUAGUUUCUCUGCUUCCCGUAGCCUCCGAGAAGGGCGUUGUAAGUCACCACAUCCUUCUUGAUCCCCACGGAAGCCAUCUCUCUCAACACAUCCAACGCUUCUUUAGACCUCCCGAGCUUAGUGUAUAUCGAAAGCAGCGUGUUGUAAGAGACUCUAUCCAGCGCAAUGCCGAGGUACUUCAUCUCGUCGAACAGGCCGAGAGCUUCAUCGAACCGCCCGGCCUUCGCGAACCCGUCGAUGACGGCGCUGUAGCUUACCACAUUAGGCAUGAUUCUCUUGGAAGGCAUCUGGGAGAGUAUCUCGAAGGCCAUAUCCAUCUUCCCGCCUUUGCAGAUAGCAUCCAAAAGCGUGUUGUAAGUGAACACGUCCUGCUCGAUCCCUCGCUUGGACAUCUCGUCGAAGAGGUUCCUGGCGGCCUCCCACAGCCCUCCUCUGCUGCAAACAGCGAGGAGGGAGUUGAAGGUGAUCCUAUCGGGCUGCACGUUGUUCCUCUGCAUCUCGUCGAAGAACUCUGCCACUUGUUUAAACUCCAUCCCUCCUUUGCCGCACGCGUCGAUGACGGCGUUGUAGGUGACGAGGUUGGGCCUCAAGUUGUAGCUUUUCAUGGAGGUAAAGACAGAGAUUGCUUCCUCGUGGAGCCCGCUUCUCCCGAAGGCACUGAUGAUUGCGGAGAAGGCGUAGACGGUGUUCCCGUACCCGCCUGAUAAGGCCUUUUCGAAGACUCUUUUAGCGAUGGAGACUUUGCCUAAUGGUGGUUAUCUGGUCAUGGACGAUUAAGAGUUUGAAGCGUAGCUGAUUCACGCAGCCAAGUUGCUCCGACCGAACCGCUUGAUGUGAACCAUCCCAUGUUGUAUUUUGAGAGGUAGAACGGUGCGUCUAUUCCCCUCAAAAGCGCUUCAAC
rnacentral:lncRNA from 1 species